rnacentral:lncRNA from 1 species
GGAGACCUUAGCUGUUUUUGUGUUGACAUGUAUUGUUUUGCUUUACUUAUUGUAUUCUCAAAUGUAUUUACAUACAAAUCAAUACAAUGAGUAGCCAUAUUUUCUGCAAUUCUGUGCCAUUUGAUCUAUGAUUGAUUGUGUGUUCUGAUUACCUCCUUUUUGAUACAAUGACAAAAAGGGGGAGAAAUAUUUAAUAUAUAUGUAAAUAGAAUCAACAUAAAAGGAAUCAAAAUGAAAAUUAAAACAUAAUUUGUUCUUAGUGGAUUUGGUACCUCGAGGCUCAUUAUCUCUCUGUUGGGGCUCCUAAUGGAGUAAUCUCCAGAAUCUAUUCAAGGGAUAUUCGGAGAUUAGUUGAAUCCAACUCAAGAAC